rnacentral:rRNA from 1 species
CCUACGGGAGGCAGCAGUGAGGAAUAUUGGUCAAUGGACGAGAGUCUGACCCAGCAAAGUAGCGUGAAGGAUGACUGCCCUCUGGGUUGUAAACUUCUUUUAUAAAGGAAUAAAACGAGGCACGUGUGCCUUUUUGCAUGUACUUUAUGUAUAAGGAUCGGCUAACUCCGUGCCAGCAGCCGCGGUAAUACGGAGGAUCCGAGCGUUAUCCGGAUUUAUUGGGUUUAAAGGGAGCGUAGAUGGGUUGUUAAGUCAGUUGUGAAAGUUUGCGGCUCAACCGUAAAAUUGCAAGUGAUACUGGCAGUCUUGAGUACAGUUGAGGUAGGCGGAAUUCGUGGUGUAGCGGUGAAAUGCUUAGAUAUCACGAAGAACCCCGAUUGCGAAGGCAGCUUACUAAACUGUGACUGACAUUGAUGCGCGAAAGUGUGGGUAUCAAACAGGAUUAGAUACCCGUGUAGUC